rnacentral:lncRNA from 1 species
AUAACCAAAACAACCUAUGUUUUAAAAUAAGUGGUUUACAUAGCAUGAAAACAUCUGGAUAAGAACAUUUUCACUUCAUUUUUUUAUGCCGUGUCAUAUUGGUGAUGUCACAUCAUCGAUAUUGACCUUUGAAAGUGAUAGUAACUUAGAAAGAAAGAAAAAUAAUUACGUAAAGAACAUACUAUCACAUUAUUAAAUACCAGUAUUUUAGUAUUACAACGUCCAUUACAUUCUUCAUGAAAUAAUACGUUCGUGAAUGAUUAUAUAUACAUACAUAUACAUAUAUAUAUAUACAUAUACAUAUAUACAUAUAGAUAUACAUACAUAUACAUAUAUAAAGUGAAAGAAUAGGAAAUUUUUGCUGCUAAAACUAUGUAAGUAUUACCCUUGAGCAGAUAAAGUAUUAUAGUGUAUGUAAGUAAGAUAA